rnacentral:lncRNA from 10 species
GCCAGGCUCAGAGUUGAAGAUGACCUAGAUCAUGCGUCAACAAACUAUGGCCUGAGGGCCAAAGCCAGCGCACCACCCGUUUUUGUACAGCCCAUGGGUUAAGAAGAGUUUUCAAAAUUUUAAACAGCAGUCUCCCCUUAUCCAUGGUUUCACCUUCUGUGGUUUCAGUUACUUGCAGUCAACCAUGGCCCAAAAAUAGCUACGAUCAGUGACCAUGGACUCAUAAGGCUUUUGUUUAAGAAUUGCCUAAGAUGUUCUUCAGAUCCUGAAUUCCAGCAGGAAAGCUAAUGCCAACCAGUUUGAAAACAACCACAGAGGAAUCGAAUCAGCACGAGAAUGCAGUUUCUUCAUUUCCCUGUCCCAUGACUUUACUCUGCACUCUUUGACCAAUCAAUAAUCCUGGACCUUGGCCCACUUCAAACCCCUUGAAAUCUCUAGCUCCAACUCCCUGGAGGGGUGGAUUUGAGGUUUCCUCCUGUUUCCUUGUUUGGCUGCCGUAUGAUUAUUAAACUCUUUCUUUGCUGCAAUCCCUGUUGCCUUGGUUUAUUGACUUACUGUGCAUCGGGCAAACAAACCUAUUAUGAUGACAUCAUGACGCAAUAUCCACCUCAAAGGACUGCUGGGAGCCUCAAAAAUUUACAAAUUUGUGAAUUGUAUGUGACUGUCUGAUGCCG